rnacentral:lncRNA from 1 species
UCCAAGGAACCUAAUUCAGACUUGAUGUCUAAUAAUAUGAGAUUGAACCACUUCCGAGAUCAUGAUUUCCAAAGCCUUCACCUAUCUAGGGUGUAUUAGAGAUCCAAGGAGUUUCAGAAACUCCAGGCAGUGCUAACACCCAAGAUAUUAAUUAGAAACUGAAUUAAAGUGCAGUGUAGAAGAGUCAGCCCUCAAAUGUCCAAGUUCAAAGGGAGAUCAUGGGUCCCAAGGCAAGGCUCACAAAAGAGGGGCAGAACUUAGAUUCUAAGAAUAAGUGCAUGUGCAAUAGAUAGGGGUUAGGAAGUGCCAAGGUAGGCUAGUGGUCAUGCCCAGCCAUAAAUAGGUUGGCACACGUCUGACCAGCCUGUUCAUCCAAUCAUUAGGAUAUUGUCAGACAAAAAUCUCAAACUCAACAUACAUAUAAAGGGGAAUGGAGAUGUUAAUUAAAAGAGUUUAGGACUCAGAGAGUCCAGUUCAUGUCUGUGGACAACAAUAUUAAGUGUUGCCAUGUUUUUUGAACCAUAAUUCAGCCAUACAAAGGGAUUAGGGAUGGGGAUUCAUGCAAGGGCAGGAACACUAAAACAACCUUGCAGAAAAUUAUAGCAUGUAAACAGUAAGAAAUGAAUUAGAGAAUAAACACAUCGAGGGAGAGGCAGGAACUGAACAUGAGAACAUACCAGUUGCAGAAAAGCAACCAAGGAAAAGCGGGAUUCUUUCAAGCAAAGCCACAAUCAAAAAAGAACACUUUAUGCUUAUGAGUUCAGAGAACUCGAGUUAUUGUGAAAAUUCUAAGUUCUAAGUGUAUUUUGAAAGUAUUCACUGAUAAGUAAUCAGAAAUGAUUGUGUUCAAUUGAUUGUCUAAAGUACAAAGGGCAGCCCCUUUUAUAGUGUAGAAAGGCAAGCAAGAAAGGUAAGAAAACCUUUUGAAAAUCAGUCAUCAAUAUUCUCCCUUCAGAUAAGGGAUUUAAUUUCAAAUGGGAGCAUGUAAUUAAGGAAAGGAAAUUUUAGUAAAAUUUGCAGCGGUCACAGAAGAAGAGAGAAUACGUGAAGUUUAUUUAAGGAAAGCAUUCAACAGUACUUGAUUUGUAAAGAGAAAGGAAAGUCAAUCGAUUAUCCAACUAAUAAAAUCAAGGUAAACAGAUUUGAUUUGAAUGAACCCAAUCAAGAAUAGGUAGAGAAGGGCUCAAACCAAAGGAAAUUAAGGGCAAUCAGUCAAGACCCUAACAAAGGGGUCCAAAAUCAAUUAGGGUCUUAUCAAAAUUCUUUGAAAGAGGAGUUUCUCACAUAUAAAGUAAACAAUUCAAACAGAAGAGUCUAACAUUGAAGGGCUCAGGAUCACAAACAAAAGAAUGCGAGUUCAGCAAGAGACUCGUAGCGAGUCUGAAGGUCCAGGGUCCCAGAAGGGAACCUUAAUCCAACUUGUCAAAGAAAAACCCCCAAAUUCUAGGGUUUCAUAUCGAAUUAGACAUAGAGAUGGAAAGGCAAGUUAACAGACUCAAGAGCCUCAUGAGAAUCAAGCAAAUACAAUAGCAUGUUUGGAACAAUCAAAGAAAGAAAACCACUUUGAGGCAUGAAAAACAUGUUCAGAAAACUUUGGAACUUAAGCAAGUUCAUAAUAAGGAAAGGAUGCGGGUUUAACGAAAUAGAUGAACAUGCUUAAUAAGAACACAAACAGAGUUCAAAAAAGCAAAACUUCAAAAAACUCAGUAGUAAAUACGCAUGGUAGAAGAGUAAGGGAAAACCUAACGCAUAUCAACAUGUGAGCACAUGCAUAAGACAGAAGUAGAAGAACAGUACAUGCGUAGUAGAAAAGAAAGACAUACAAGUAUAAUACAGACAACACUUAAAAGAAAGAACAAUAAAAAACAAAAAUACUUUCAGAAACCCUAAUUUGAAAACAAAUGAUUUUGAAAAGAAAAUUUGGGAAAAAUACUCAAAACAUCAAAUAUAGCAUAGAUUCAACAUAGGUCUAGGCAAACAAACGAAGAAAGAACCUCUAAUAGUUUAGGAUUUCUAAGAAACCCUAGAAAUGAUAAAGUCUUGGAAGAACAAUAUCUGAUCUCGAGUCGAAAUGGUCAGGAAUCAAGUUUCCAGUGCUUGAAUAUGCCGGAACGUGGCCGAAAAUCCAUAGAUCUACGGAUCUUCUUACAAGAGACCAUCGAGGUCAAGCCUCCAAACCUUCAGUAGCUCAGUCUUAGGGGUAAUAUAGCGUGAGCACAAUCCAUCCAUGGUUGGAGAUUCCAUGGAUUCCGGUGAGAAGGAGGUGAAAUAGGGCGGGAGGUGAUUAGGAUUUUGAAGAGGCUAGAGAGGAUUUGAGGGAGACGAAGGGAGUUAGAGGCAUCGUCU